AUUGAACGCUGGCGGCAGGCCUAACACAUGCAAGUCGAGCGGAUGAAGGGAGCUUGCUCCUGGAUUCAGCGGCGGACGGGUGAGUAAUGCCUAGGAAUCUGCCUGGUAGUGGGGGAUAACGUCCGGAAACGGGCGCUAAUACCGCGUACGUCCUGAGGGAGAAAGUGGGGGAUCUUCGGACCUCACGCUAUCAGAUGAGCCUAGGUCGGAUUAGCUAGUUGGUGGGGUAAAGGCCUACCAAGGCGACGAUCCGUAACUGGUCUGAGAGGAUGAUCAGUCACACUGGAACUGAGACACGGUCCAGACUCCUACGGGAGGCAGCAGUGGGGAAUAUUGGACAAUGGGCGAAAGCCUGAUCCAGCCAUGCCGCGUGUGUGAAGAAGGUCUUCGGAUUGUAAAGCACUUUAAGUUGGGAGGAAGGGCAGUAAGUUAAUACCGUGCUGUUUUGACGUUACCAACAGAAUAAGCACCGGCUAACUUCGUGC
rnacentral:rRNA from 1 species